UAGUAGAGGAAGGGGAUUGUGAACGAGAUCACGUGAACUCAAUUUCAUGGGAUUGUCCGUGUUAGACGGAAGCAUUAGCAGAAUGGCCGGAAGUAGACAGGAAGUAUAUAGAUCUGUGUUGCUGGGUAUGGUUGCAGCCUCCUCUGUGGGCCCUCCUGCUAGUGAAGACAUAUCAAGGAAGUUCUUUCUACUCUGGAAAUGUGUCCAUGCUCUACAAUUAUACAAUAUAAAAUAUCCAUGACAACUCAUCAUCAGAUUCUAUAUAACAUUAUUAUGAACUGCAGACAAGCCAUGACAUUGUAAAGAUUACACGUACAUUAUGAACGAUAUGAGUCAGAAUGUGUUGUCAGAGUCCGGUCUUCUGUGUUUGGGUAACGGUUCGUGAACAAUUUUUUGACAGAACUUACCUGAUCAACUAUAAUAUAUAUAUAGUGUAGAAGAGUGAUGCUUUCACAAAUUCAUUUAAGGCCAGGAUUUUCAUCACAAAAGUUUAGGGAAUCGAUGGAUCUCAAUUAAAAUAGCACAGCACGCUGGUGAAGGUAACUUAGGUUGAAAGAACUGGAGUGAUGAGUUGAUAGAGGGGGUGUAAGGGUAUAUUCAGAACGUACUGACAAGUUCCAAAUGAGCUGGCACUGAACACACAAGGUGACGAUGACAUCAACUCUUGGAAGCUUGACAAUGGUGAGCACGUUCUUGAUGGCAAUUAGUUAAUUCAACACUGACUUGGCAACCAAGAAGUGGAGAGAUUCAAGAGUUGCUGGUCGACUCAGGUAAAGGCUGAUGAGAACAGACAGGGGAUGUCUGCUGCUUCUUGCUUUUCUUUCGCUGAAAAAAACGCAAUUUCUGACUUCCCAUGCCCAUUGUUACAAUCACACCUGUGUGGGAAAAGAGCAACAUGACAUUUUCACACUUUUUCAUUGAGGCAAAAUUCUUCUUUCGAGUUAGUACAGCUACUAUGUAAUAGCUAUUCUCAUAGAGUAAAGCUAAGAGAAUCAGAAAAUUCACACUAAAACUUUCAAUUGUGAACAGUCAGAUCAGGACACCCCACACAAAGAAGGCACCCCAUUCGACCUAUUUCACAACACUGGAGAACAACAAAAAGCUUACAUAUUAAAAAAAGGGGCUAUCCUGUUAAAGCUCAAGUCAAGGAAACAGCUAAUGUGCUUACUAGCUUCUAAAAGUGUAUCAGAAACUAGAUUCUCCCCAAACAGUGCUAAAAACAGGUAAAUGGUGAGUCAUAGCUAACUUGUAGCUCAACAGUAGUAUCUUUUUACUUAAAACGCUCAAAAUAUUGUUAGUAUAGAUUACUACUGACAUUAAAGCUCUUAGAUAGUCGUUUCUUACCUUUAGAACAGAGUAAAACUCUGAAAAGUCUUUAGCCCGCUCAAAAUUAGCCAAUUCGCGGUCUAACACGGAUAGACCUCAGCUCUCAUGUAUGAUCUAUAGCGCACGUGAUCUCGUUCACAAUCCCCUUCCUCUACUAUCUAUGAUUCGACCAACCGUUGCUAACGCGUCAUCGCUGCCUUGGCAAAAGUCUUGGUGCUAUAAAAUCACAGUUGUACAAGAGCAAAACUUCAUUGUGUGUGUUGUCAAGUCUUUAUUGAGAAAAAGGAAAAAGAAAAAAAAGUAGCUGAGACGACUAUCAUGAAGACAGAAGUGCAAUGUGCCUGUGCGUUCUUCUGUCGAAUGCUACAACAAAAAAGUCUUCCCCUUCAAUUCGCAGAUGUAUUCCGAAACAAACUAGAAGACC